rnacentral:rRNA from 1 species
CACUCCUACGGGAGGCAGCAGUGAGGAAUAUUGGACAAUGGGUGGAAGCCUGAUCCAGCCAUCCCGCGUGCAGGAAGACGGCCCUAUGGGUUGUAAACUGCUUUUAUCUGGGGAUAAACCUACUUACGUGUAAGUAGCUGAAGGUACCAGAAGAAUAAGCACCGGCUAACUCCGUGCCAGCAGCCGCGGUAAUACGGAGGGUGCAAGCGUUAUCCGGAUUUAUUGGGUUUAAAGGGUCCGUAGGAGGACUGAUAAGUCAGUGGUGAAAUCCGACAGCUUAACUGUCGAACUGCCAUUGAUACUGUUAGUCUUGAGUAAGGUUGAAGUGGCUGGAAUAAGUAGUGUAGCGGUGAAAUGCAUAGAUAUUAAUUAGAACACCAAUUGCGAAGGCAGGUCACUAAGUCUUAACUGACGCUGAUGGACGAAAGCGUGGGGAGCGAAAAGGAUUAGAUACCCCAGUAGUCCCAUG